UCUGUAGGUUUCGGCUUAAAUAGGUUCCGAUUUCAAGUCAUGAUAUCUUGAAUUUUUGCUCAUCCCCAUUAAUGACCGCAUAAUGAUAUUUUAAGAAUUCAGCCACAACAAUCCACAUGACCACGUAUGACAUAAUGCAAUGUUUCAAGUUCACAUACUAAAAUAAAAUUUUAAAAAAAAAAAAACAUUAAUUUGAACCUCCUUACCAAAAAACAGACUUCACUAGAUAAGCUUAGAGAGAGAAUGGGAACCCAACAGUUACAACUGCCACUACCAUCAUCAUCAUCUUCAACUUGUUCAACUAGACUUUCUUCCAUUUUAUCUCACCACUACAAUUGCCGUAGCACCACCACUUCACUCCUUUUCAACCGCAGCAGCACCACCAACACCAUUCUCUCUCUUUCCCUCAACCAUGUCAACCACCGUCGUUCAAUUCAGCACGGCCGUGUUGGUAUGGAUGACUCGACUAUUCCGGCUACCUCUACCGCUUUUGAGGAUGACGAAGACGAUGUAGAACCCGAACCUACUCCUGAGGAUCUCGAAUACAUUAGCCGAAUUAAAAGAGUUUUGGAGCUUCUCAGGAAAAACAGGGACAUGCUUUUUGGAGAGGUCAAGCUGACUAUUAUGAUUGAGGACCCUAGAGAAGUUGAGAGGCGAAGGUUGAUUGGAAUUGAUGAUUCUGAUGGACCAACAAGGGAGGAUUUAGUUGCUGCUUUAGAAGAAGUAAAUGAUGGAAAAAUUCCACGAGAUCGUGUUGCCUUGCGUAUGCUUGCAGUGGAGAUGACUAGCUGGCCAAAUUUGGAGGCUGAACCUUCUAAGAAGACGACAAAGAACAAAUCCCUCUACGCAAAAGCAACUGAUACAGGUAUUGAUCCUGUAAUCGCUGCAAAGAGGCUGAACAUGGACUGGGAUUCAGCAGCUGAGAUUGCGACAGCCGAAAAUUCUGAUGAUACUGAUGUACCUCCAGUUGUAGGUAGCUGAGCUCCAUGCAAUGAUAUAGCUCUAGACCAAGAAAAAAAGCGGUGAGAAUGUUGAUCUGGGGAUAUGGAGCAUUAUACCUCGUCUCAGCCUUUCCGGUCAUAAUCGGAAUUUCAGUUGUUUUGAUAUUAUUUUACAACUCCCUUCAGUAGAUAUGUUCAUGCCUUUCUCCAUAAGAGUAAAAGUAUUGUGAUCCGUAUAACCAGUUAAAGGUUUACUGCUACCCAUGGUAUAUAUUGGAAAAGCUUUCAACUCUUCUGCUUACUACCUUCCUUUUCUAAAAUUCUUAUUAUAUUCAUCUGUUAAAAUUAA